ensembl:snRNA U1 U1 spliceosomal RNA
AUACCUACCUGACAGGGUCUGAGAUACCAUGAUCAGGAAGGUGGUUUUCCCAGGGCAAGGCUCAUCAAUGGCACUUAUGAUGCACUGACCUCUGAGAUUUCCCCAAAUAUGGAAAACUCAACUGCGUACUUUGUGGUAUUGGGAGAAUGCAUUCAUGCUCUUCACU